rnacentral:rRNA from 1 species
UACGAAGGGGGCGAGCGUUGUUCGGAUUUACUGGGCGUAAAGCGUGCGCAGGCGGUUUUGUAAGUCUGUCGUGAAAGCCCCGGGCUCAACCUGGGAAUUGCGAUGGAGACUGCAAGGCUUGAAUCUGGCAGAGGGGGGUAGAAUUCCACGUGUAGCAGUGAAAUGCGUAGAGAUGUGGAGGAACACCGAUGGCGAAGGCAGCCCCCUGGGUCAAGAUUGACGCUCAUGCACGAAAGCGUGGGGAGCAAACAGG